rnacentral:lncRNA from 1 species
GAGUGACAUGACAAGAUUUGUGCUUUAGAAAGGCUGCUGGCUGCACCUUGGGGGUUUUGAGUGGAAAAGGGAAGCUGGAGGCCAAGAGAUCAGACAGUAGGCUGUGCACUAAUCAAGAGAAGUAGGAGGCCUUGAACCAGCUUAAGAGAGGCAUCCUAGAAGUGGAGACAUCUAAGCUGAGUCUUGAAAGAUGAGUAGGAACACACCAGGUGGAGGAGCUGGGAAGCAUGUCCAGGGAGAAGAAACUGCACAGAUAAAGGCUCAGCACACAGAAAGUUCCUGGCAGGCUUGGGGAAUUUCCACUAGUCCAGCAGGCCUGCAGUGUGGCCUGAGAGAGUCACGACUGGCUGGGAAGACAAGAUUUGGACAUGAAAAGAUGAGAGAUCUACACUGUGACCUGAAUUGGGCAAUGCUCAGUUACACAGUAGAGGAGGGCUCCUGAUUAUAAUGCUAUACUGCUUGGCGGUAAAAGGAAGUCUCUGGACAAGAUGACCUCUGAAGGCCUUUCCAGCUCAACUAUUCUUUGAUUUGCUGUCCCAUUUCUAGCUAUAUGAUGAAUAAACCAGCUUAUCCUCGAGAAGAAAGAAAUAAGGACUGUCUUUAGCCGUCUGAAAAGCUGUCAUAUUGGGCCCCUCCCAGCUCCUCCCAGCCAUUCGGAGCAGUAAGUGAAGAUGUCAGCACCUUGGACAGAGCCCAACGCAUUACAGUACUCGAAGCCAGCGGAAGCCAAGCUCUCCAACUCCUUUAGCCUCGGGGUGAUGGAUUUCCUCGUUUCUCAAUUUGAUUAAAGCCCAGUAGAUAACCAG